rnacentral:rRNA from 1 species
UACGGAGGGGGCUAGCGUUGUUCGGAAUUACUGGGCGUAAAGCGCGCGUAGGCGGCUUAGCAAGUUAGAGGUGAAAGCCCGGAGCUCAACUCCGGAAUUGCCUUUAAAACUGCAAAGCUAGAAUCAUGGAGAGGUGAGUGGAAUUCCGAGUGUAGAGGUGAAAUUCGUAGAUAUUCGGAAGAACACCAGUGGCGAAGGCGACUUACUGGACGAUUGUUGACGCUGAGGCACGAAAGCGUGGGUAUCAAACAGG